GGCCCAGAUCCCCAUAAGUCAGCGAUGAGGGGGGCCGAGCAGGGGCUGCCCGUUAGACGGCCGCAGAGUCCCAGCCCCCAGCCCUGCUCACCUUUCUUACCUCUCUGGCCCCGUCGGCAUUUGAGCCUGGGACCCCAGACGAAAGGAUACGCUUCCUUUUAGAACCCCUGCCAAUCUGAGGACGGGGCCACCCCACAGACGCCGUGGCUCAGCAAGCAGACCAAUGGCCGAGGAGUCUGGCAAGGGGCGCUUGGCAGAUGAGAGUGGAGGUUGUAAAUCACCCUCCAUGCAAUGGUUCAUCAUAAAGGAUAUGGAGCAAAAUUAGAGGAGGCACGAGAAGGAAAGCCGGUGAUGAACAAGGAUUUGCCUCAACUACAGAGACAGCAUGGAACACGCCCUCCUAGGCUGCCCACAUCCUCAUCUGCAUGGGGGCACAGAAGCCUGGCCAUUCAUCCCAUGGGAGACUCAGGACAUGCUCCCAGCAACCUGAUGGGCUGCCCAAGGCUUGGCUGAUCCUGCAUCCCUGCAUCACAUCUCAGCUUCUCCCUCUGCCCAAAUCUACUUCCUCCCCAUUCCUUUCACAGGCAUUGAUUCCCUGAUAAACACCUUGCACCCCA
rnacentral:lncRNA from 1 species